AUACGGAGGGUGCAAGCAUUAAUCGGAUUCAUUGGGCGUAAAGGGCGCGUAGGCGGGGAUAUAAGUCAGACGUGAAAGCCCAAGGCUCAACCUUGGAACUGCAUUUGAAACUGUAUCUCUUGAGGAUAGGCGGAGGAAACGGAAUUUCACGUGUAGCGGUGAAAUGCGUAGAUACGUGAAGGAACACCGGUGGCGAAGGCGGUUUCCUAGCUUAUUCCUGACGCUGAGGCGCGAAAGCUAGGGUAGCGAACAGGAUUAGAAACCCCUGUAGUCC
rnacentral:rRNA from 1 species